rnacentral:rRNA from 1 species
GACGAACGCUGGCGGCGUGCUUAACACAUGCAAGUCGAACCGUAAGGCCCUUCGGGGUACACGAGUGGCGAACGGGUGAGUAACACGUGGGUGAUCUGCCCUGCACUUCGGGAUAAGCCUGGGAAACUGGGUCUAAUACCGGAUAGGACCACUGCCUGCAUGGGUGGUGGUGGAAAGCUUUUGCGGUGUGGGAUGGGCCCGCGGCCUAUCAGCUUGUUGGUGGGGUGAUGGCCUACCAAGGCGACGACGGGUAGCCGGCCUGAGAGGGUGACCGGCCAAGCUGGGUCUGCGAUGUGGCCCAGACUCCUACGGGAGGCAGCAGUGGGGAAUGUUGCACAAUGGCGCAAGCCUGAUGCAGCGACGCCGCGUGAGGGGUGACGGCCUUCGGGUUGUAAACCUCUUUCAGCACCGACGAAGCGCAAGUGACGGUAGGUGCAGAAGAAGGACUGGCCAACUACGUGCCAGCCGCCGCCGUAA